CCUGGUUGAUCCUGCCAGUAAUCAUAUGCUUGUCUCAAAGAUUAAGCCAUGCAUGUCUAAGUACAUGCCGAAAUAAGGCGAAACCGCGAAUGGCUCAUUAAAUCAGUUAUGGUUCCUUAGAUCGUUUCUUCCUACUUGGAUAACUGUGGCAAUUCUAGAGCUAAUACAUGCAGUGAGCCUGGAGCCCUUUGGGUAACGGGUGCUUUUAUUAGACCAAGAUCGAUCGGGUUUCGGCCCGUAUUGUGUGGUGACUCUGGAUAACUUUGUGCUGAUCGCAUGGCCACGAGCCGGCGACGUUUCUUUCAAGUGUCUGCCUUAUCAACUUUCGAUGGUAGGUUACUUGCUUACCAUGGUUGUUACGGGUAACGGAGAAUCAGGGUUCGAUUCCGGAGAGGGAGCCUGAGAAACGGCUACCACAUCCAAGGAAGGCAGCAGGCGCGCAAAUUACCCACUCCCGGCACGGGGAGGUAGUGACGAAAAAUAACAAUACGGGACUCUUUUGAGGCCCCGUAAUUGAAAUGAGUACACUCUAAAUCCUUUAACGAGGAUCAAUUGGAGGGCAAGUCUCGGGUGCCCCAGCAGCCGCGGUAAUUCCAGCUCCAAUAGCGUAUACUAAAGCUGCUGCGGUUAAAAAGCUCGUAGUUGGAUCUCAGUUCCAGACGAGUAGUGCAUCUACCCGAUGCGACGGCUCGGACUGAACAUCAUGCCGGUUCUUUCUUGGUGCACUUCAUUGUGUGCCUCGAGAUGGCCGGUGCUUUUACUUUGAAAAAAUUAGAGUGCUCAACGCAGGCGAGUCGCCUGAAUAAACUUGCAUGGAAUAAUAGAACAAGACCUCGUUUCUGUUCUGUUGGUUUUUGGAAUACGAGGUAAUGAUUAAGAGGGACGGACGGGGGCAUUCGUAUUGCGGCGCUAGAGGUGAAAUUCUUGGACCGUCGCAAGACGAACUACUGCGAAAGCAUUUGCCAAGAAUGUUUUCAUUGAUCAAGAACGAAAGUCAGAGGUUCGAAGGCGAUCAGAUACCGCCCUAGUUCUGACCAUAAACGAUGCCAACCAGCGAUCCGCCUGAGUUACUCAAAUGACUCGGCGGGCAGCUUCCGGGAAACCAAAGUAUUUGGGUUCCGGGGGAAGUAUGGUUGCAAAGCUGAAACUUAAAGGAAUUGACGGAAGGGCACCACCAGGAGUGGAGCCUGCGGCUUAAUUUGACUCAACACGGGAAAACUUACCCGGCCCGGACACUGGGAGGAUUGACAGAUUGAGAGCUCUUUCUUGAUUCGGUGGAUGGUGGUGCAUGGCCGUUCUUAGUUGGUGGAGCGAUUUGUCUGGUUAAUUCCGAUAACGAACGAGACUCUAGCCUAUUAAAUAGGUGCGGGGUUCCCAGCACCUUACAACCUUCUUAGAGGGACAAGCGGCUCCUAGCCGCACGAAACAGAGCAAUAACAGGUCUGUGAUGCCCUUAGAUGUCCGGGGCCGCACGCGCGCUACACUGAAGGAAGCAGCGUGUCUUUAUCCCUGUCUGAAAAGACUGGGUAACCCGUGGAACUUCUUUCGUGAUUGGGAUAGGGGCUUGCAAUUGUUCCCCUUGAACGAGGAAUUCCCAGUAAGCGCGAGUCAUAAGCUCGCGUUGAUUACGUCCCUGCCCUUUGUACACACCGCCCGUCGCUACUACCGAUUGAAUGAUUUAGUGAGGUCUUCGGACCGAUGUCCGGCGCGGCCUUUCGGUUGCGCCGGUCUGUUGGAAAGAUGACCAAACUUGAUCAUUUAGAGGAAGUAAAAGUCGUAACAAGGUUUCCGUAGGUGAACCUGCGGAAG
rnacentral:rRNA from 1 species